rnacentral:rRNA from 1 species
AACGGAAAGGCUCCAGCUUGCUGGAGUACUCGAGUGGCGAACGGGUGAGUAACACGUGGGUAAUCUGCCCUGCACUCUGGGAUAAGCCUGGGAAACUGGGUCUAAUACUGGAUAUGACCUUUCUCCUUAUGGGGUUUGGUGGAAAGUUUUUCGGUGUAGGAUGAGCCCGCGGCCUAUCAGCUUGUUGGUGGGGUGAUGGCCUACCAAGGCGACGACGGGUAGCCGGCCUGAGAGGGUGAUCGGCCACAUUGGGACUGAGAUACGGCCCAGACUCCUACGGGAGGCAGCAGUGGGGAAUAUUGCACAAUGGGCGGAAGCCUGAUGCAGCGACGCCGCGUGAGGGAUGACGGCCUUCGGGUUGUAAACCUCUUUCAGCAGGGACGAAGCGUAAGUGACGGUACCUGCAGAAGAAGCACCGGCUAACUACGUGCCAGCAGCCGCGGUAAUACGUAGGGUGCGAGCGUUGUCCGGAAUUACUGGGCGUAAAGAGCUCGUAGGCGGUUUGUCACGUCGUCUGUGAAAUCCUAGGGCUUAACCCUGGACGUGCAGGCGAUACGGGCUGACUUGAGUACUACAGGGGAGACUGGAAUUUCUGGUGUAGCGGUGGAAUGCACAGAUAUCAGGAAGAACACCGAUGGCGAAGGCAGGUCUCUGGGUAGUAACUGACGCUGAGGAGCGAAAGCAUGGGUAGCGAACAGGAUUAGAUACCCUGGU